CAGCUAAUGACUCAAUUGGACUCCAGCCUGAAGGAUUCCAUCUUUGAAACUUACCUCUCUUCCUUUCCCACUUAACACAACUGAAGGUGUGUGUGUGUCCAUGCGUCUGCGUGUGCAGGGAUGAGGACGGAAGAGCAAUCCUUGAGGGUUUGCAAUUACAUCUAAACGGCAUAAUUGGACAUGAUGGAUGGCUGUUGCCUUUCCACAACGUCUCGGCCUCAGCUCCACCGGUGCAACGAGGUUACAGGAGAAUGGGAAACGAUGAAAGAUUUAAUACGUCAUUCAGCUUCGCUCCAAAGUGGCACUGUGGGACCAGAGGUUCACAUCUCAGCAACCAGUCAGGCUGCAGCAGCUCGAAAGAAGAACCAACCACAAGCACCAGCCUCAGAAGCACAGCCAGGGAGGUAUGAGAUACAAUGGGAAGCUCGUAUGCUUCUUAUCCCUGCUCAGUCCUCUUCAGCACAGGAGACACAAUGACAAACAAAGGCCUGGAAGACGCAAAGAAGGAUCUAAGACGUGACAGGUCCUCGACUUCUGGAGUUUUGCUCCGGCUUAGAGAGGAUGCCAGGCGAGAAAAAAGAACUCACUGCUGAAUCAUGAACCAUGCUCCUUUAUAGGAUCACCUGGAGGGCAGCUGGUCUUACUGCUGAACUGGUCAAAUAAGACUGUUCCACUGGAUCCUCAGUGACACUUCAACCUCUGACCUCUAAUGAAAUACAUAUUUUUGGAGUGUACACUCACUUUAAUGUACAUUUCACAGCAUGGCGUGCAUGUAAAUUAGACUUAAAUUUUUACCAUGUGGUCGGAAAAAAACUAUAAUAAAUUGUA